GCUUUGUGUAGAUCUGAUUACCUUUACUACAGAAAGUUGUAUUAUUGCCCCAUCUAGUGGUCAGUCCCAUCAAUUAAUUUGACCCUCAUAGCCUCUUGUAGCCAGUCUUGCAAUGCAUUCUGGGAUGAAGAAGCUGGGAUCAGCCUUUCUACUUCCCUCAUGGUCCCAGACAGUCAUGCUUUACAUGGGUCCAACUCUCAUAUAGCAUUCGAUGUUUUACCUCAUUAUCACACAUCAUCAUAUCGUAUUGUACAUCAAAUCAACGCAUCAUAUCUGUGAUCCCUUUACUGAAUAAUAAAACACCGUUCUACAAACA